rnacentral:lncRNA from 1 species
AUUGCAUCUCUUUCCUUGGCUGGUUUUAAUUUGUGCCCUUUAGCUGUAAUAACCCAUAACCGUGAAUCUAACAGCUAUCAGAAUUUAUAGCAACGAAACAGUCUACGGGCUGUGCUGAGACUUCCUAAGCAGUUUCAGAUCAGAAGGGAAGAGCCUACUAAGUCAGCUGAAGAAACCCUUGUCUGACUUAUUACAGAUGCAACCCACAGAACGCUAAUCUCAAAGGAUGACCUUGGAAAACCGACAACCUAGAAACUGCCUGCCCCCUGGCACAAUGCGGAAAGUUACAAGUUCAGAGCAAGAGGAGCAUGAUUCAUUUCGUGUUACGCAAUUCACAAAUGACCUGCAAGGAUGCUGCCACUGAAGCUGUGGGUUGCAAACAUCCUACACAGUGUUGCUGCACACCCCUGGAUUCGUCUCUCCACAAGGAAUCAACUUCAUACUUUGGGUUCUACCCCAUCGGCUGGUCACAAUCAUUCCUGCCUGAGUCCCUCCCCCCUGGACUCUGGUACUCCACUGGUCUCAUUUCCCUGCAGCCUGGGGUCUUUCCUCCACUCCACACUGGCCAGUCAGGGGCUCAGGCCUUUUGAGGUUAGGAGAAGAGGGAGAAACACCACACCAGUGAUAUCGUGUAGGAGGGUGAGUAUCCUAAUCAGAACAGAUGCCGGCCAGAAGACUCAGGGUCAGAAUCCCAGUGUAUCUGAUGCUGUGGAAGUUUCUUUUCAAACAACGUGGAGAAUAUACAUGGCCUGACAGCCUAUUUGAAAAGAAAAUGCCAUGGGCCCUCAAGGAUCCCCAAAUUGCAGGAGGGCUGGAGCUCUCAGACAGUCCAGGAGGGAGGCACCCUGUGCAAUACUUCCUGCUGAGGCCCUGGGCUUAAAGCAGAGCUGGGAUUGCACAUGCCCUCCGCUCAGCUCUCAGACAUCCCCUUACACUCAGAAACACCUCUCCAUGCUCACACACUUUUUUGGGCUUUCAUUUGCCUUGUUUUAUUGAAUACAAUACACUUCCAGAAAAAUGCACAAUCAUAAGUGUACAGCUCCGUGUACACUCUCUUUUACAAACAGAACUCUCUUAGUUUAUUUUGUGCUGCUAUAACAGAACACCUGAGACUGGGUCGUUUACAAAGAAGAGAGAUUUACUUUUCACAGUU